UACGUAGGGUGCGAGCGUUAAUCGGAAUUACUGGGCGUAAAGCGUGCGCAGGCGGUUUUGUAAGCCAGAUGUGAAAUCCCCAGGCUUAACCUGGGAAUGGCAUUUGGGACUGCAAGGCUGGAGUGCGGCAGAGGAGACUGGAAUUCCUGGUGUAGCAGUGAAAUGCGUAGAUAUCAGGAGGAACACCGAUGGCGAAGGCAGGUCUCUGGGCUGACACUGACGCUCAUGCACGAAAGCGUGGGGAGCAAACAGG
rnacentral:rRNA from 1 species